AUGAUGAAAAGAAUUACCAAGAUGUCCUUGAUCCAACUGAGUAAAGACCUAGGAGAGUUCCUGCGUGAUAAAGAGCAGCAGCUGGAGUGUUUUUCGGAGGGAGGAGGAUGGAGGAGCAGAAAAAAAGAGAGGAGAGGAGACAACAGCAGGAAGAGGAGGAGAAGGUCAGAGGUCAAACUACUAUGCACCCUCGUUUUUUUUGUCCUCAACGACUCAUUCCAACUCCCCCACACCCUGUUUACCUCUCUCUCGCUCUCUCUCCGAUUUGGGUUGAGUAUGGUCUGCCUGUUGGGUUAGAUUAGAUGUGCUUUAAUGGUGAACAUCUCAACUGAUGAUUUGAAAUUGAUUGGGAGACAGCCCAUCAUUGCAGACAGACUCUCCCGUUUAUGUUAAUAGAUUAAUGAUUGGGCGGUCUCUGUGGCUGCACCAUGAUGUCAUCGUUGACGUAUCAUGUGUCAUUUCCUGGAAUCAGACAAUACAUGAUAUAUAUCUGUCACACGCACAUGGAUAUGAAUAUUUGAUUAUGUGUAGGACCAGAUAGAGUUUCCAUAUGAUACAAUAGGAUGUGAUAGGAUAUGAGGCCAGUGGUAGCCUAUAGAAUUGAUGUUGGUUGAUUACUGCAUAAUUACCAAUUAGAUAUGCAAACAAUAUGAGUUAAUGUAUUGAUAAAAAAACACUGUUGGUUAUUUAGGCGUGUGUGUGUUCUGCUGUAGAACUCUGUCUCUGGUUAUUUAGGUGUGUGUGUGUGUUCUGCUGUAGAACUCUGUCUCUGGUUAUUUAGGUGUGUGUGUGUGUUCUGCUGUAGAACUCUGUCUCUGGCUAUUUAGGUGUGUGUGUGUUUUGCUGUAGAACUCUGUCUCUGGUUAUUUAGGUGUGUGUGUGUGUUCUGCUGUAGAACUCUGUCUCUGGUUAUUUAGGUGUGUGUGUGUGUUCUGCUGUAGAACUCUGUCUCUGGUUAUUUAGGUGUGUGUGUGUUUUGCUGUAGAACUCUGUCUCUGGUUAUUUAGGUGUGUGUGUGUUUUGCUGUAGAACUCUGUCUCUGGUUAUUUAGGUGUGUGUGUGUUCUGCUGUAGAACUCUGUCUCUGGUUAUUUAGGUGUGUGUGUGUUUUGCUGUAGAACUCUGUCUCUGGUUAUUUAGGUGUGUGUGUGUUCUGCUGUAGAACUCUGUGGAGGUUCUAUUUUAGUCCUGGCACCGG
rnacentral:lncRNA from 1 species